ensembl:lncRNA
CUCUAUUAAUGCGCUCCUCGCCGGAAGUGACGGUGCUAGGUGUCUAGUUAUUUCUGUAGAGGUCGUCUCGGACCAACUCAGCAAACUUUCAUCUUUCAACAGUGACCUGAAGCACACAGCCAAGACGAUGCUGGAAUGGCUUCAGGGCAAGUCUGAGAAUGUUCCUUAGUGGCCCAACCCUAUUUACGCAUAGAACCUUGUAACAUUGCCAAACCUCCCCAAUACUAAACUUCAUCACCUCUUCCCUUUUACACGAAGAUGCCGUGACAGCCACACGUUUUCUUUCAUGUGAGGUGCUGGGAUUCUGUGGUGGAGGAUAACUCCGCCUCCAGCUGACUCCCACGUGAGGAUGCCUCACUCGCUCAGAUGUCUUGGUUUCUUAGCCAACAACUGUCAGCGCACUAGCCCAGACGCCCAAUCAACCCCAGGAAUCACAAACAUUUGGCAUGGGAUCGGAUCAUCGGGAAUUCAAGGCAGCUUACAAGGACCCCCCAGCCAGGACCGAGUCCGACAGCCAGAUGAUGGAUCAAAGGGAAUCUCUACAUGACGACGCAUGACUCAGUCUCCACCUGCGGCUCCAUGUGACCACAGCUUUUUCAAAUCCCCCGGUCUCGUGUGCACAACUCAGACAACCCGAAUGGAAUGCUUUGGACUGAAAAUGGGGAUAAAGGUGGAAUUUACUGAGAAGAGAUUUCGGACAAGCUCCAAUUUUCUUGAUAUCGCCAUUCUCUUAUUUACAUCGUUGUGAUUACCGUUAACAGCCCACCUUUCUUAAAUGGGAGAAGAUAACAUGUAUUUUUGGGGUUAUUUUUUCAUUUGACAUUUUUGCAGUAUAAAAUAUGCAGCUUGACUGAAGUGUUUUGGGGCCAAUUCCAGUUCAUUGACAGUUUGUGUGGUGGUUAUGUACUUAUGUACAUUUGAAUGCAAGUACAUAGAAUUCAGUGUUUCUGAACAAACGGUCCUGAUACAAAUAUUAUGGCGUGCUGAUAUAGUAUAUGCACAAUGUAGACCUGUAAGGUCCAUAAACCAAAGUGUAACUGAGUGUGAGAAAGCAAAAAUAAUUAAAUUAAAUCUUUUUUUGAAUUAGGCACAGCGUUGAAAAGGCAGGCCGCCUGAGCUCCUGCUCACUAAUGAGAAGAGGUAUUUGGGAAGAGGGGAUAAAAGCUUAUCUGAGUUAGAGAGCGGAACUCUUCCCUGAUGUCAGCCCCCCGGGCGGCACGGAUGAAUAGCAGCGCUAAUGACAGCCACUAUUCUGUCAAUGGCUCGUCACUCAUCAUGAAUGCUCAUGAAAAUUUAAAGCACCAUAUUAAAAGACAGAUUGCAACUGGUAUAUCUUCCUGAGUCCAGAUGUGGACCCUUCAGUUUUCCACAAAGGCACUGCAGUUGGCGAGCUACACUGACUGUACACACCUGCUCAAUAAUUCAUCGAAAGUGGUUGUUAAUAAAUCAUAAUUUGUAAGUUAGGGAUAUUCGUCGUUGAAGAAAGUGAGGUUGAAUUUCAAUUGUCUGAGUAUGUCCUUUGGUGUCUUCUACUGUCUUUCUCCAUGUCUCCAGCGCCCCCUGGACAUUUCCCCCCGAUUGACACCAGGUCGACACCAGGGGCAGAAUAAUCAAGCAAGCAUUCUGUUUCUUCCAACACCAAGGGCUGCACUUCACUACAACGUGUUAGGCGGUGUCUUCAGCUUAAAGAGCUCUACAUCAAGGAUACAUAAAUAUUCAAAGCGAUCAAAAUGUUCUGCUUUUAUAUAUUCAGCCAUAAAAUAUGCAAAACUAUUCAUACUGAAUUCACACCUGCACAUAAUAUGUUGUAUAUAUUUUUAAGUAAACAAAAAGCAUAAUGAAUGUCAUGCAAAAUACAUUUAAAUGCUUUACAAAUGUCUGUGCUCUAUAGCAUGUUUCUUUUAGGCAUGUGCAGGUCAUAAUAAUAGUACCAAAUGUUGAAAGGCUGAACUACACUCCUUGUGGAUUGUCAUGUCAUACAUUUACCUUCAUGUUGGACAAAAGAAGAAUAUCACUGUAGAAAAGGCAAGGAAGAAUGUACUAAAUAAAUGGUAUAUUAAUGGUAGUUAAUUGUAACAUUAGUAGUUAAUUAGGAGAUUGUAUUGUCAUAAGGACUGCUGUACCUCUGCCCACUGGCCAAGGGAAGCAGUGCUCUGAGGAGAAGUUUAGACAAGCAGCAGUCAUUAAAUGUCCAGUUACUUGUGUCUUACAGUACUGUAGUUGACAUCCUUUGUUUGGACAAACAAAGC